rnacentral:rRNA from 1 species
ACAUGCAAGUCGAACGAGAAAGGGGCUUCGGCUCCGAGUAAAGUGGCGCACGGGUGAGUAACACGUGGGUAACCUGCCUCUAAGAUUGGGAUAACUCGUCGAAAGAUGGGCUAAUACCGGAUAAGACCACAGUUCCCGCGGGAACAGUGGUCAAAGGUAGCCUCUGCUUGCAAGCUAUCACUUAGAGAUGGGCCUGCGCACCAUUAGCUAGUUGGUAGGGUAACGGCCUACCAAGGCAAAGAUGGUUAGCUGGUCUGAGAGGAUGAUCAGCCACACUGGAACUGAGACACGGUCCAGAAUCCUACCGGAAGGCACCAGUGGGGAAUAUUGCGCAAUGGGCGAAAGCUUGACGCAGCAACGCCGCGUGAGUGAUGAAGGCCUUCGGGUCGUAAAGCUCUGUCGGGAGGAACGAAUGCUCCUGAGGUUAACAGCCUCGGGAGGUGACGGUACCUCCAAAGGAAGCACCGGCUAACUCUGUGCCAGCAGCCGCGGUA